rnacentral:rRNA from 1 species
UGAGGAAUCUUGCGCAAUGGGGGCAACCCUGACGCAGCCACGCCGCGUGCCGGAAGACGGCCCUAUGGGUUGUAAACGGCUUUUGAUCGGGAAGAACCUGGACCUUUCGAGGACCACUGACGGUACCGAUCGAAUAAGCACCGGCUAACUCCGUGCCAGCAGCCGCGGUAAUACGGAGGGUGCAAGCGUUGUCCGGAAUUAUUGGGUGUAAAGGGUGCGCAGGCGGAAGCUUAAGUCGAAGGUGAAAUCUUGCCGCUUAACGGUAAAAGCGCCUCCGAUACUGAGUUUCUUGAGUCCGGAAGAGGUUGGUGGAAUUCGUGGUGUAGCGGUGAAAUGCAUAGAGAUCACGAAGAACACCGGUGGCGAAGGCGGCCAACUGGUCCGGUACUGACGCUGAGGCACGAGAGCGUGGGGAGCGAACAGGAUUAGAUACCCCCGUAGUCC